CCAUCUUGAUCUGAAAUCAACUGAGACUACCCGCUGAACUUAAGCAUAUCAAUAAGCGGAGGA
rnacentral:rRNA from 1 species